CGUUCCCGGGUCUUGUACACACCGCCCGUCACACCAUGGGAGCGGGUUUUACCAGAAGUAGGUAGCUUAACCGCAAGGAGGGCGCUAACCACGGUAGGAUUCGUGACUGGGUG
rnacentral:rRNA from 1 species